GGAUACUCCCGGGAAACCGGGGAAAGGUCGGAUUCUUUCCGGAGAAUUCAGCUCCUUUGUUAAAGUGGCCUCGGCUGUUUUAACGAAGGCAGGUUCACCCCGUCCGGUGCGGAAGUUCGCGCUUCCGUGAAACGCGAAAAUCGGACGGUGGCCACAAGUCGCAUCGCAAAGCCGCGGCAAGUGGAGUUAGCGAGAGGAGGCUGGGUUUUGGCUUCCUUAAGCAAUCGGUCACCUAGAAGGUGUGGUCGUUACCGUGAAAUUCCGGAUAGGUUCGAGGCCGCGGGCACUGACAUGAGUGCUUGUAGUCAAAGCUCUUCGGAGCGGAGGCUGCUGAACGCGACCCCGAAUGAAAUCGUGAAACUUCGCCGUCGGGCGAAGGAAAGCGAAGGUUCGAUCGGAAACCGAAAGGCGGAAGAUCGAGUUGUCGAAAAAUGACCUGAGAGCUAAGGCGAGACCCGUAGAUCAGGGCGAAGCCUACACGGGCAACCGUGGAGACGAGUCCUGUGAAAACGGGGAGGUUGUCAGAGACAACGAGAACCUCCCCCGGUGGUUUGAAGGAGCGCCGUAAGGCGAUCCGACGCUCUGCCGAGAAGCCUUGCUUGAAAUCGUCGACGCAUCGACGACGGUCCUGCCAUGAGACCGUAACGAGGACAUGUCGCCUCGAGUGGCGUCGGGGAGCCGACAGCUUGCCCCAAGGAUAAGCGCCUAAUGUCGGUACCCGGGAACGAGCGUGUGGCGAACGCC
rnacentral:ncRNA from 1 species